AUGUUAAAACAGGUCAUUUUUUUUCCUAAAGAAAAUCUGAACUAUUCUACUAUUCUUUCAUUGUUAUGUGACAGUCAUUCACAUAAGGUAAUUUUAUAUCUCCUCAUCCCUUCUUAGUUUUUUUUUUUCUCCAAAUGAACAUCUUUCUAGGAAUACCACAUGCUGUCCAUCUCUCCCCUUCCCGAUCCUCAGGGAGCAGUGAUAGAUGUCAUUCAGCGGCUGCCUUGUUGGUUGUUCCCUGUGGAGUAGCAGCUGAGAGAAAAUGCAUUCAGGGUGCAGAAUGUUAACAGAAAAGACAUUUUAGAAAAUCUCUAAUGAGAGUGGGACAUAUGUGGUCUGGCGCUCUACGGCAGAUUCACAUUAGCUACAAUUUCUCUGCCUGCCAUGAAUAGUUGUUUAAAAAAGUAAGAAGAAGGAAGAAAAGAGAGAGAGAGCAUAGCAGUGGGGAGGUUUGAUUUUUCCUACCCCACAAAUUUGCCAUAGCCUAUGAGAAAAUCAGAGAGCAAUGCUUGAUCACGCUGACCCUUCUUAUCCUACUU
rnacentral:lncRNA from 1 species